CGACGCGUCCAAUCCAAUCCCUAGCUUCCCCCAAAUCCCCAGCCCGACCCCCUAGCCGGCGAUCCGCCGCAUGGGUCGCACGGAGGGCCGCCUCGCGUCCGUGGUGCGCCUCCCCGGCCGCUCCAGGGUCUCCGCCUCGCCCUCCCCUCGCCGCCGCGGGUCCCCGUCCCGGUCGCCCUCCCCGCCCCGCAACCGCCGCCGCGACCGGUCGCCUAGCCCCUACCGCGAGCGCCGCCGCGACCGGUCCCCAAGCCCCUACCGGGACCGCCGCCGCCAGUGGUCCCCCUACCACCGCGACCGCGGCCGCGACGUGGAGAGGGAGUGGGCACGGGACCGAGACCACCCUGCCCCCCGUGGCGGCGGCGGCGGCGGUGGGGGAGGAAGCGCCUGGUCCGGAUCCGACGACGACGACGAGGAGCUCAAGGGUCUCACCUAUUUCGAGUACCGCCGCCGCAAGCGAGAGAAGCUCCGCAAGAGCAUGAAGCGGUGCAUCUGGAACAUCACGCCCAGCCCUCCUCGCCGCGAAGGCGAGGAUGAAGAUUAUGGAUACAGCGACGAGGAGGAGGAGGAGAAAAAGGAAUCGCCGAAGAAGGUGGCCUCCUCGGAUAAGAGCGAAGAGGAGGAUAGCAAGGGUUCGUCGGGAUCCGACUCAGGUGAGUCUGAUAGCUUAUCCGAUUCCAGCGAAUCAGAUGACUCUCGGAAGAAGAAGAGAGGGCGUAAGAGUAGCCACCGAACCAGCAAGCGUAGCCGCCACCGCCGCCGCCACUGUUCGGCGGGUACAGAGAGUGAUCGUGACAGCAAGGCUGAUGAGGAUUCGGAGGGCUCUUACGAUUCUGAGGACUCUAGGGAUAGAAGGAGGAAGAGGAAAUCACGGAGACACAUGAAGUCUAAGAGGAGGGGAAGGAGCUCCAGGAGGAAGAAGAGGAAGAUCAUUGAUACAGCCUCUGAGGAAAGUGCUGAGGAGGCGGCGGCUUCAGGAUCAAGCCCUAGCCCCUUGAGGGACAGUAAGAAGAAGAGCCGGAGCUCACGGGCAAAAAGGAGCAAGCGGUCUGAUUCAGAAGAUCAUGCCCCAUCUGAUGCUGACCUUGGUGCCAAGGAAAUUGAUGAGACAAAUGUGCCAGAAAUUGACCCAGAAGCGAUCAAAUUCAAGGAAAUGCUUGAGGCCCAAAAGAAGGCUGCUUUGGAGAAUGAGAUGCCGGUUGGGCCAAUGCCUCUUCCACGCGCAGAAGGUCAUAUUAGCUACGGUGGUGCACUGAGGCCUGGAGAAGGUGAUGCUAUUGCACAGUACGUACAACAGGGGAAGCGUAUCCCACGGCGUGGUGAGGUUGGUCUGUCUGCGGAGGAGAUUCAGAAGUUUGAGGAUUUGGGCUAUGUGAUGAGUGGGAGUAGGCAUCAGAGGAUGAAUGCUAUUCGUAUAAGGAAGGAAAACCAGGUUUACAGUGCAGAGGAUAAGAGGGCACUUGCUAUGUUUAAUUAUGAGGAGAAGUCGAAGCGAGAACACAAGGUCAUGGCUGACUUGCAGCGCUUAGUGCAAAGAACCAUUGGAAAUGAUGUAGGACCUUCUCAUGAUCCAUUUGCUACAGCAGAUGGCUGAAAAAGUGAUCUUGAUCUGGUGAUCUCACUCCCACCCACUGGAAAGUGGAAACUGAAUGUCGCACUGUUACGCUUCUUCAUUUGAAAGAACAAGUAUGAUACAAAGCUAGCUUACCCUGUAGCUUGCUUUCAAAUAUUUUUGGGUGCUCCUGUUAUUACUACGCAGCCGCAGCAGAUGUACGGACCCGGUGGAGGUAUAUAUGGCCUUCAGUCUGAUUUCAACCAUCCAGUUAGCCCAUAGCAUCAUGUAGUUGCAAGAUUGAUUUCAAACUUUGAACACAUGGGGAUGCUCUAUGAUAGAUUCGGCAAGCAGGCUGUGCUGCUGAUAGCGCCGUCUUGGAUUUGGGUAGUAUCAUUCUGAGCUGACCUAUUAGGCUGACCUUUUCUACUGUAGAAAAGAGUGAUCGAUACUCGAAAAACACCAUCGCAAAUGAUGAUGGUACAAGUAGUCACUUCGGGAUGAAUUGUUCCCCAUUUGGACUAAGUAGAAACACACUAUAAAUAAGUUGAGGGAUAAAUGUUAACAUGUUGAAACAAUUUAGAAAUAAGUAUGAGCUGGAAGCACAGUUUAAUGCCCCCCCAUGAAAGCAACCACUCGAGGAUUUGUUCUUGGCCCUUUGCGUCGGGGAACAUGGGAGCCCACCUCUUCUUGACGCCGUCCCAGAAUUCCUCCGCCUCCCUUCCAUCCUCAUCUCGCUGCAGAACGAAGGGCGGAGCAAGAUUGUUACGGUGAUUGUUUAGCUUUUUUAUGAAAAAAAAACCAAACAAUAUAUUUGUAAACGGAA